CCUACGGGAGGCAGCAGUGGGGGAUAUUGCACAAUGGGGGGAACCCUGAUGCAGCGACGCCGCGUGGGUGAAGGAGUGCUUCGGCAUGUAAAGCCCUAUCGGCAGGGAAGAAGCAAGACGGUACCUGACUAAGAAGCCCCGGCUAACUACGUGCCAGCAGCCGCGGUAAUACGUAGGGGGCGAGCGUUAUCCGGAUUCACUGGGUGUAAAGGGAGCGUAGGCGGCCAGGCAAGCCAGUGGUGAAAGCCCGGGGCCCAAGCCCGAGACUGCCCUUGGGACUGGAUGGCGGGAGUGCGGGAGGGGCAGGCGGAAUUCGUGGUGUAGCGGUGAAAUGCGUAGAUAUCAGGAGGAACAGCGAGGGCGAAGGCGGCCUGCUGGACCGCGACUGACGUUGAGGCUCGAAAGUGUGGGGAGCGAACAGGAUUAGAUACCCCGGUAGUC
rnacentral:rRNA from 1 species